rnacentral:lncRNA from 1 species
UAGCUAAAACAAAAAGAUUUUGCCACCAAAGUAUGCAAAAUGAUUUCUAUAGUAAAUCUUUGUGGCUUGAAAUUGAACUAUUUUCGAAAUAUAUAUUGCACCCUCUCUCAAAAUUUCACAGUCAGACUUGUAAUUGAAGUACUUCUGAAGAUAAAAUUGUAAAUAUCUCCAACAAAGUAGUGGUCAAGGUAUUAGAAGAAGAAAAAUACCUCUCUAAGAAGCACAGCUUCUGGGAAUGGCCCGGUGGCUUCAUCAGGUUUAGGAACAAAGCGAUGGUUGCUCUCUCUUUCUUUGCUGUUGCCACUGUUAAUGGGGUGCCCCUGAGCCUCACCUUCUGUAAAGAAAGAGGUCAAAAGCCAGAAGUUCACUUACGCAGAUUUGCUGAAACCAAGAAACGAUAAUUCCCAUUUAGAGAGGAGCAGCCACUGGAAAAUGGGUUCACCAAUAAUUUUCCCAUUACAAAAAACCGUUAAUGGAAAGGAAAGGAAAGGGUUAAGAAAUCGACCUAGGCCUUGCGGUCAUUGAUCUCGAGCUUCAGGUCCUCUUUCGCCACGCCGGCUUCCGCAACGGAUCCUUCUUCUUCAUCGUCUUCGUCUCCUUCGCCCUCAUCCCCAGAGUGUAUGUCGAAGUCCGAUGUUAUCGCGAUCCUCUUCGUCCCUGUCCCCGUCCCCAAAGUCGAUGUCCGAGUCCAAUGGAAAUGGAGAUACAAAGGUAAAGCAAGUAUGAAGUGAGAGCCGCCCGGCAUAGGCUAGUGUUGUAAAGUACAGACGCGAGGUUAUCACACGUCAUGCCAGUUGCGGCGUGGGGUUCGAUUUUUAAAAUAUGGAAUUGGACUAUUUGUGGGCGUAAUAUACUC